CAAGAAAAUGUACAUAGAUAAUUACAAAGCUAAGCAACCAGGUCUAGCGACACAAAAAGUCGAGUGAAUUAAGUACAACAAUCACUCUGGCCAGAGAUGUCUCCUUCUCCCGAGCAAUCGUUCCCCGUCAGUCAUCACGAUUUGGGGUGUGUUUGCUUCAUGCCCCAACAUGCCUUGUAAAAAUUUUGGUACUACCAAAACAAGGGCAUGACCAAAUUUUUGGUGAGUAAUAGCUGUUUGGUUUGUAGCCAUGGUAGUUACCAAUUUUUGGCAAAAUGUUUAGGUCUCCAUUUGCUUUGCAGCCACUUACACCGGUGCCAGGAGCAAGACACCUCCAAUCUCCAUUAAGGACAGAAGCAAACCUACACCAUUACCUAACGCUAGAGCAUCUCCACUCCGCCAGGAGCAAGACACCUCCAUAAAUGGAGUUCCGUCAACUGGAUAAUCACUGGAAUUCCACUUUCUUCUCCAACUCCAUAAUGUUCGUGUCAAUUUCUUCAAAUCUGAUGAGCCUCACUUCCCUGGACCAUGACCACCCGACAUCACUGCCGCCGGUCGUCUGAUGAGCCGCCGGACAAGCUGAUGCCAGCAUCAUAAUCCUAGACAUCCCCUGGUUCAAUUUUUGUGCUUACCCGCCACCGAGGACAACCUACCGCCGGCAACCGCCUCCAUCAGUUAGAGGAAGAGGAACGGGAAAAGCUGGAUUUGGCCGCCAAUUAGUUGGCGCAGGAUUUGAGCGCCUUCGGUUCCCCCUGAAGUUGGCGAGAAAUACACGGACGUGCGCGGGCGCGGUUGGGCCAGCCAAAUUACUGGUAUCGAUCCAAACGGCGGCCAAAAGUUGUGGGCGUACCAAAUAUUUGGUAAGGCCAGCAUUGGCCAGAAACCAAACGAGCCCUUGAUUUCUUUCUGCCCGGGAGGUCGUGGUCGUUUGAUCUUCAUGUUGCCUUCUUAAUUAUUGUAUCCCAUGUACUUUGUCUCAGACAUUUUUAAGGACUAAGAUAGCAUGGAGGUUAAGGGUAUCA